rnacentral:rRNA from 1 species
AUUGAACGCUGGCGGCAUGGCUAAAACAUGCAAGUCGAACGAUCCCUUCGGGGGAGAGUGGCGAAAGGGCGAGGAAUAGAAUCGAAUGUACCCCAAGGUGGGGGAUAGCCUCUGGAAACGGAGGGUAAUACCCCAUGUGCUCUACGGAGGAAAGGUUUACCGCCUUGGGAGCAGCGAUUCUCCUAUCAGGUAGUUGGUGAGGUAACGGCUCACCAAGCCGAAGACGGGUAGCGGGUGUGAGAGCAUGACCCGCCGCAUCGGGACUGAGACACUGCCCGGACUCCUACGGGAGGCUGCAGUAACGAAUCUUCCGCAAUGGGCGAAAGCCUGACGGAGCAAUGCCGCGUGUGGGAUGAAGCAUCUUCGAUGUGUAAACCACUGUCAGGGUCUAGGAAUACUGACCAGACCCAAAGGAAGGGCCGGCUAAUUCCGUG